rnacentral:rRNA from 1 species
CCUAGCGGUCAUAGUACAGUAGAACUACCUGAAUCCAUCCCGAACUCAGAAGUAAAAUGCUGUCACGCCGAUGGUAGUGUGGUGUUUCGCCAUGUGAGAGUAGGUCGCUGCUAGGU